rnacentral:rRNA from 1 species
GACGAACGCUGGCGGCGUGCUUAACACAUGCAAGUCGAACGGAAAGGCCCUGCUUUUGUGGGGUGCCCGAGUGGCGAACGGGUGAGUAACACGUGAGUAACCUGCCCUUGACUUUGGGAUAACUUCAGGAAACUGGGGCUAAUACCGGAUAGGAGCUCCUGCUGCAUGGUGGGGGUUGGAAAGUUUCGGCGGUUGGGGAUGGACUCGCGGCUUAUCAGCUUGUUGGUGGGGUAGUGGCCUACCAAGGCUUUGACGGGUAGCCGGCCUGAGAGGGUGACCGGCCACAUUGGGACUGAGAUACGGCCCAGACUCCUACGGGAGGCAGCAGUGGGGAAUAUUGCACAAUGGGCGGAAGCCUGAUGCAGCAACGCCGCGUGCGGGAUGACGGCCUUCGGGUUGUAAACCGCUUUCGCCUGUGACGAAGCGUGAGUGACGGUAAUGGGUAAAGAAGCACCGGCUAACUACGUG